rnacentral:rRNA from 1 species
UACGAAGGGGGCUAGCGUUGCUCGGAAUCACUGGGCGUAAAGCGCACGUAGGCGGAUUCUUAAGUCGGUGGUGAAAGCCCUGGAGCUCAACUCCAGAACUGCCUUCGAUACUGAGAGUCUUGAGUCCGGGAGAGGUGAGUGGAACUGCGAGUGUAGAGGUGAAAUUCGUAGAUAUUCGCAAGAACACCAGUGGCGAAGGCGGCUCACUGGCCCGGUACUGACGCUGAGGUGCGAAAAGCGUGGGGAGCAACAGG